AUUCAGUGAAUCAUCGAAUCUUUGAACGCAUCUUGCGCCUUUUGGUAUUCCAAACGGCACACCUGUUUGAGUGUCAU
rnacentral:rRNA from 1 species